rnacentral:rRNA from 1 species
GUAACGGCUCACCUAGGCGACGAUCCCUAGCUGGUCUGAGAGGAUGACCAGCCACACUGGAACUGAGACACGGUCCCAGACUCCUUACGGGAGCCACCAGUGGGGAAUAUUGCACAAUGGGCCCAAGCCCUGAUGCAACCCAUGCCGCGUGUAUGAAGAA